AGUGAACGCUGGCGGUGCGCCUAACACAUGCAAGUCGAGCGAACAGAUGAAGUGCUUGCACUUCUGACGUUAGCGGCGAACGGGUGAGUAACACGUAAGGAAUCUACCUAUAAGCGGGGGAUAACAUUCGGAAACGGGUGCUAAUACCGCAUAAUAUCUUCUUCCGCAUGGAAGAAGAUUGAAAGACGGCUCUGCUGUCACUUAUAGAUGACCCUGCGGUGCAUUAGUUAGUUGGUGGGGUAACGGCCUACCAAGACGAUGAUGCAUAGCCGACCUGAGAGGGUGAUCGGCCACAUUGGGACUGAGACACGGCCCAAACUCCUACGGGAGGCAGCAGUAGGGAAUCUUCCGCAAUGGGCGAAAGCCUGACGGAGCAAUGCCGCGUGAGUGAAGAAGGCCUUCGGGUCGUAAAACUCUGUUAUAAGAGAAGAACAAAUUGUAGAGUAACUGCUACAGUCUUGACGGUAUCUUAUCAGAAAGCCACGGCUAACUACGUGCCAGCCGCCGCGGUAA
rnacentral:rRNA from 1 species